ensembl:lncRNA
GUUGUACUUUUCGCAAAUAAGGUCUACUAAACUUAUUGGUCUAAGGAAUUUUCCUUUUAACAGUUUUAACAGUAGUCACCAGGAUCCAAAGCUCCAGAGGACGCUCAGAGCCAUCAGUUAAGGUAGUCACUGAGCUUACUGGGCUUCCUGUUUUCUAGCUCUGUUGGGGAACUGUGGGACUUUCAAACGUCUCAGAAAAAGGAAUUCAAAUUGACAAAUCAGGAUAGAGCUGCAAGAAUCAUUCAGAGGGCCUGGAGAACUUUCCUUGUUAAAUUUCCACCUGAUAGAUACUAUAAAAUUUUUACACACAGACAUAUUGAAGAUUUAUGUGCUAACAGCCCUAGAGAUUAUACAAAGCUCCCAGC